CCUACGGGAGGCAGCAGUAGGGAAUCUUCCGCAAUGGACGAAAGUCUGACGGAGCAACGCCGCGUGAACGAUGAAGGCCUUCGGGUCGUAAAGUUCUGUUGUUAGGGAAGAACAAGUGCUAGUUGAAUAAGCUGGCACCUUGACGGUACCUAACCAGAAAGCCACGGCUAACUACGUGCCAGCAGCCGCGGUAAUACGUAGGUGGCAAGCGUUGUCCGGAAUUAUUGGGCGUAAAGCGCGCGCAGGCGGUUUCUUAAGUCUGAUGUGAAAGCCCCCGGCUCAACCGGGGAGGGUCAUUGGAAACUGGGAAACUUGAGUGCAGAAGAGGAAAGUGGAAUUCCAAGUGUAGCGGUGAAAUGCGUAGAGAUUUGGAGGAACACCAGUGGCGAAGGCGACUUUCUGGUCUGUAACUGACGCUGAGGCGCGAAAGCGUGGGGAGCAAACAGGAUUAGAUACCCUGGUAGUCCACGCUGUAAACGAUGAGUGCUAAGUGUUAGAGGGUUUCCGCCUUUAGUGCUGAAGUUAACGCAUUAAGCACUCCGCCUGGGGAGUACGGUCGCAAGACUGAAACUCAAAUGAAUUGACGGCNGAGAGNGCGAGAGACACGAGGAGAGG
rnacentral:rRNA from 1 species